ACGGAAGGCAGCAGUGAGGAAUAUUGGUCAAUGGACGGAAGUCUGAACCAGCCAAGUCGCGUGAAGGAUGAAGGUAUUAUGUAUUGUAAGCUUCUUUAGCAGUGGAGUAAUAAGGGGAUCGUGAUCCCUGAUGCAAGUACACUGAGAAUAAGGAUCGGCUAACUCCGUGCCAGCAGCCGCGGUAAUACGGAGGAUCCGAGCGUUAUCCGGAUUUAUUGGGUUUAAAGGGUGCGCAGGCGGCUUUUUAAGUCAGUGGUUAAAUCGUGACGCUCAACGUCAUCACGCCAUUGAUACUGGAGAGCUUGAUUGCGGUCGAGGUUUGCGGAAUUCGUUGUGUAGCGGUGAAAUGCAUAGAUAUGACGAAGAACACCGAUUGCGUAGGCAGCAGACCAGGCCGUAAAUGACGCUCAUGCACGAAAGUGCGGGGAUCGAACAGGAUUAGAUACCCUGGUA
rnacentral:rRNA from 1 species